GAUGAACGCUGGCGGCGUGCUUAACACAUGCAAGUCGAACGAUGAAGCCCAGCUUGCUGGGUGGAUUAGUGGCGAACGGGUGAGUAACACGUGAGUAACCUGCCCUUAACUCUGGGAUAAGCCUGGGAAACUGGGUCUAAUACCGGAUAGGAGCGUCCACCGCAUGGUGGGUGUUGGAAAGAUUUAUCGGUUUUGGAUGGACUCGCGGCCUAUCAGCUUGUUGGUGAGGUAAUGGCUCACCAAGGCGACGACGGGUAGCCGGCCUGAGAGGGUGACCGGCCACACUGGUACUGUGACACGGCCCAGACUCCUACGGGAGGCAGCAGUGGGGAAUAUUGCACAAUGGGCGCAAGCCUGAUGCAGCGACGCCGCGUGAGGGAUGACGGCCUUCGGGUUGUAAACCUCUUUCAGUAGGGAAGAAGCGAAAGUGACGGUACCUGCAGAAGAAGCACCGGCUAACUACGUG
rnacentral:rRNA from 1 species